rnacentral:tRNA from 1 species
GCGCCCAUAGCUCAGCUGGAUAGAGUAACUGGCUUCGAACCAGUAGGUCGCAGGUUCAAGUCCUGCUGGGCGCG